AGGGUUCGAUUAUGGCUCAGGAUGAACGCUAGCGGCAGGCUUAACACAUGCAAGUAGAACGGUAACAGUCCUUCGGGAGCUGACGAGUUGCGAACGGGUGCGUAACGCGUAUGCAACCUACCUAUAACAGAGGGAUAGCCCAUAGAAAUGUGGAUUAAUACCUCAUAACAUCUUAAGAUGGCAUCAUCUAAAGAUUAAAACUCCGGUGGUUAUAGAUGGGCAUGCGUGACAUUAGCUAGUUGGUGAGGUAACUGCUCACCAAGGCAACGAUGUCUAGGGGUUCUGAGAGGAUGAUCCCCCACACUGGUACUGAGACACGGACCAGACUCCUACGGGAGGCAGCAGUGAGGAAUAUUGCGCAAUGGAGGAAACUCUGACGCAGCCAUGCCGCGUGCAGGAAGACUGCCCUAUGGGUUGUAAACUGCUUUUAUAUAGGAAGAACUACAGAUACGUGUAUUUGUUUGACGGUACUAUACGAAUAAGGACCGGCUAACUCCGUGCCAGCC
rnacentral:rRNA from 1 species